rnacentral:tRNA from 1 species
GGCCCCGUAGCUCAGUUGGAUAGAGCAACAGCCUUCUAAGCUGUGGGUCGCCCGUUCGAGUCGGGCCGGGGUCGCAA